rnacentral:lncRNA from 1 species
AGGGAAAAAUCAGGGUUAUUUUUUACUUCUAUGUGUAUGUAAAAUGCCUUUUUUUUAUUUUUCAGCAUCAGCAACAGUCUUAUAUUGAAAUUUGAAGUCUGCUCUUGGAGAUCAAACUUCUGCAAAAAGAUGAAGCACACCUUCUGUUUCAAAGGACAGCAGGGGGCUCAUGAACUACAUGGAGUAAUGCCCUCUGUUCCUGGUGGCUCCUCAAUCAACAAGGCACAAGGAUUAAAGGAAAAUACUCAUCUUGGGAAGUUCAUGGGAACAUGA